UAUCUCUGUAGAGUCUGCAUAUCAAUAAGCGGAGGAAAAGAAACUAACAAGGAUUCCCCUAGUAACGGCGAGUGAAGCGGGAAGAGCUCAAAUUUGAAAUCUUCAAGGUUUGACCUUGACGAAUUGUAGUUUAAAGAAGUGUUUUCGGUUAGAGGAGUAGUAAAAGUUCUUUGGAAUAGGACAUCAUAGAGGGUGAGAAUCCCGUAUUUGACUAUUCUUUCUAGCUUUGUGAUACACCUUUCAAAGAGUCGGAUUGUUUGGGAAUGCAGUCCAAAAUGGGUGGUAAAUUUCAUCUAAAGCUAAAUAUUGGCGAGAGACCGAUAGCGAACAAGUACCGUGAGGGAAAGAUGAAAAGAACUUUGAAAAGAGAGUUAAACAGUACGUGAAAUUGUCAAAAGGGAAGCGUUUGACACCAGUGUUGUUUUUCCAAAAAUCAAUUACGAAUGGCUUGAUUUUGUGUUGUAUUGACCUUAUCAGCUUUCUGCACUUUUUUCGAGUCUUUCUUAAUGCACUUUUUGGUUAACAAGUCAACAUCAAUUUCUUUCGUUGUAAAAGAGUAUUCGGGAGGUGGCUUUCUUUUCGGAGAAAGUGUUUAUAGCCCUAUACUUCUACAAUCGGAGAGAUUGAGGUCUGCAGCGUAGAUCCUUCGGGGUUAGAUACACUUGUGCUAAGUUGUAGCUUUUCAUAGACAACUUGUUGACUAUGUUUAGUCAUGCGGCUUACUCGCUUGUGCUAUUUUACCUACGCUUAGGAUGUUGAGCGCAUGUCUCUCUCU
rnacentral:rRNA from 1 species